GACGAACGCUGGCGGCGUGCCUAACACAUGCAAGUCGUACGGGCUUGAGGGGCAACUCUCAAGUCAGUGGCGGACGGGUGCGUAACACGUGAGCAACCUGUCCUUAGGUGGGGGAUAGCCGGCCCAACGGCCGGGUAAUACCGCAUAUUUCGCCGGGGCUGCAUGGCUCUGGCGUGAAAGCGGCCGCAAGGUCGCGCCAAAGGAGGGGCUCGCGGCGUAUCAGCUAGUUGGCGGGGUAACGGCCCACCAAGGCUACGACGCGUAGCUGGU
rnacentral:rRNA from 1 species